rfam:Shimia sp. SK013 shim_contig000009, whole genome shotgun sequence.
UCGCGGACAGCAAAUUACCGGAUAUGCAGGCCGGAUGGGAACAGAUGUGCUCCAAUGUGAUGGCCGGUCUGUCUGGGCUCAACAUGGUAUAUGAGGCCG